AAUGUUCCCGUCAAUAUACUUUACGACAAUAAACAGUUUACAUACAGUUAGUCGUCGUAAUGCAAUACACGCAGGUAUAGUAAACUUCAAACUAGUCCGGGGUCAUGUCAGGUCACAGUCCGGACUCACCUGUUCAAGAUUGUGUAUUACAUGGUUGAUCGCUGCUUAAAUGUCGUUUAUUGAUUUUUCCGAUGACUAUCGAAUAAUUAAAGAAAUAGAGAAAUGAAUAAAGGAAAAGCAAAAAGCAAAAAAGGAA
rnacentral:lncRNA from 1 species